UGCGUAGGUGGCUUAUCAAGCCAGAGGUGAAAGGCAUUGGCUCAACCAAUGUAAGCCUUUGGAACUGAUUAGCUUGAGUGCAGGAGAGGUAAGUGGAAUUCCUAGUGUAGAGGUGAAAUUCGUAGAUAUUAGGAGGAACACCAGUGGCGAAGGCGACUUACUGGACUGUAACUGACACUGAGGCACGAAAGCGUGGGUAGCGAACA
rnacentral:rRNA from 1 species